CCCAGAAUACGCACAAACAUCCCCAGCAUACACACACAGACGUACUAUAUCCCUAGCAUACACACACACACACACACAGACACUACAUUCUUAGCACAUAUACACUACAUCUCCAGCACACACAGACCCACUACAUCCCCAAACUAAUGGCAUACAUCACACAUGGCAAAUUAACUUACUCCUUUUUGGUUUGUUAUUGUUAGUGAUUGAUAUAUUGUAUUUUGCUAAUAUUUUAAUAGCACGGCAGAAGCAUAACUGUUGUGACGUUUAAUUUAGUAUGCAUUGAAUUAAAUAUGUUAAAG